rnacentral:rRNA from 1 species
GACGAACGCUGGCGGCGUGCUUAACACAUGCAAGUCGAACGGAAAAAGCCGAGCUUGCUCUUCUGCUUCAGUGGCGAACGGGUGAGUAACACGUGAGUAACCUGCCCUAGACUCUGGGAUAAGCGCUGGAAACGGCGUCUAAUACCGGAUACGAGACACAGCUGCAUGGCUACUGUCUGGAAAGUUCUGCGGUCUGGGAUGGACUCGCGGCCUAUCAGCUUGUUGGUGGGGUAGUGGCUCACCAAGGCAUCGACGGGUAGCCGGCCUGAGAGGGUGACCGGCCACAUUGGGACUGAGAUACGGCCCAGACUCCUACGGGAGGCAGCAGUGGGGAAUAUUGCACAAUGGGCGGAAGCCUGAUGCAGCAACGCCGCGUGCGGGAUGACGGCCUUCGGGUUGUAAACCGCUUUCGGCUGUGAAGAAGCGAGAGUGACGGUAAUGGGUAAAGAAGCACCGGCUAACUACGUG